UACAGAGACUGCAAGCGUUAUUCGGAUUCACUGGGCGUAAAGGGUGCGUAGGUGGCGGGGAAAGUUUGAUGUGAAAUCUCCGAGCUCAACUCGGAAAUGGCAUUGAAUACUAUCCCGCUUGAGGGUCGGAGGGGAGACUGGAAUUCUCGGUGUAGCAGUGAAAUGCGUAGAUAUCAGGAGGAACACCUGCGGUGUAGACGGCUUACUGGACCAUAACUGACGCUGAGGCACGAAAGCGUGGGUAGCAAACAGG
rnacentral:rRNA from 1 species